ensembl:snRNA U6 U6 spliceosomal RNA
GUGUUUGCUUUGGCAGCACAUAUACUAAAAUUAGAAUGAUACAGAGAAGAUUAACUUGGCCCUUGUGCAAGAAUGACAUGCAAACUUGUGAAGUGUUCCCUAUUUUU